UCCUACGGGACGCAGCAGUGGGGAAUAUUGCACAAUGGGGGAAACCCUGAUGCAGCGACGCCGCGUGAGCGAUGAAGUAUUUCGGUAUGUAAAGCUCUAUCAGCAGGGAAGAAAAUGACGGUACCUGAAUAAGAAGCCCCGGCUAACUACGUGCCAGCAGCCGCGGUAAUACGUAGGGGGCAAGCGUUAUCCGGAAUUACUGGGUGUAAAGGGUGAGUAGGCGGCAUGGUAAGCCAGAUGUGAAAGCCCGGGGCUCAACCCCGGGACUGCAUUUGGAACUGUGUGGCUGGAGUGUCGGAGAGGCG
rnacentral:rRNA from 1 species